UGGGGAAUAUUGGACAAUGGGCGAAAGCCUGAUCCAGCCAUGCCGCGUGUGUGAAGAAGGUCUUCGGAUUGUAAAGCACUUUAAGUUGGGAGGAAGGGCAUUAACCUAAUACGUUAGUGUUUUGACGUUACCGACAGAAUAAGCACCGGCUAACUCUGUGCCAGCAGCCGCGGUAAUACAGAGGGUGCAAGCGUUAAUCGGAAUUACUGGGCGUAAAGCGCGCGUAGGUGGUUUGUUAAGUUGGAUGUGAAAUCCCCGGGCUCAACCUGGGAACUGCAUUCAAAACUGACUGACUAGAGUAUGGUAGAGGGUGGUGGAAUUUCCUGCGUAGCGGUGAAAUGCGUAGAUAUAGGAAGGAACACCAGUGGCGAAGGCGACCACCUGGACUAAUACUGACACUGAGGUGCGAAAGCGUGGGGAGCAAACA
rnacentral:rRNA from 1 species